rnacentral:rRNA from 1 species
UAGGGAAUCUUCCACAAUGGACGCAAGUCUGAUGGAGCAACGGCCGCGUGAGUGAAGAAGGUUUUCGGACCGUAAAGCUCUGUUGUUGGUGAAGAAGGAUAGAGGUAGUAACUGGCCUUUAUUUGACGGUAAUCAACCAGAAAGUCACGGCUAACUACGUGCCAGCAGCCGCGGUAAUCGUAGGUGGCAAGCGUUGUCCGGAUUUAUUGGGCGUAAAGCGAGCGCAGGCGGAAGAAUAAGUCUGAUGUGAAAGCCCUCGGCUUAACCGAGGAAUUGCAUCGGAAACUGUUUUCUUGAGUGCAGAAGAGGAGAGUAGAACUCCAUGUGUAGCGGUGGAAUGCGUAGAUAUAUGGAAGAAUACCAGUGGCGAAGGCGGCUCUCUGGUCUGCAACUGACGCUGAGGCUCGAAAGCAUGGGUAGCGAACAGGAUUAGAUACCCUGGUAGUCCAUGCCGUAAACGAUGAGUGCUAAGUGUUGGGAGGCUUCCGCCUCUCAGUGCUGCAGCUAACGCAUUAAGCACUCCGCCUGGGGGAGUACGACCGCAAGGUUGAAACUCAAAGUGAAUUGAC